CUAAGAAAUUCACGGCGGGCUUGAUGUCGUUCACUGCCGUGUAGGCAG
rnacentral:misc_RNA from 1 species